UACGAAGGGGGCUAGCGUUGCUCGGAAUUACUGGGCGUAAAGGGCGCGUAGGCGGACAGUUUAGUCAGAGGUGAAAGCCCAGGGCUCAACCUUGGAAUUGCCUUUGAUACUGACUGUCUUGAGUUCGGGAGAGGUGAGUGGAAUGCCGAGUGUAGAGGUGAAAUUCGUAGAUAUUCGGCGGAACACCAGUGGCGAAGGCGACUCACUGGCCCGAUACUGACGCUGAGGUGCGAAAGCGUGGGGAGCAAACAGG
rnacentral:rRNA from 1 species